AUUUAUUAUAAUCUUUAUUGCAAAAUUACACCCAUAAGGGUCAAGCAAUACAAACAAACAAUUAUACAUUUUAAAUACAAUGCAAUACAAUACAAUGAAAUACAAUACAAUAUAAUAGAACAUAUUUUUUAAAAGAGUUCAAAUUAUAAAUUGAUGUAUAAAACACAAUCAUGAGCUUGUCUGACAUGGGUCUGACCCCCUCAGUUCUAAAGACUGCUUAAUGAAGACUCCAAUAUGACAAACAAGUUCAGGGAUGGGGUUUAGAAUCUGUUUUAGUUUAUUAAAUGCAUCAAGAUGUUGAAAUAAUGGUACAUAGUCCAAUUCAAUGCCUAGGGAAUGAUCACUAAGUCUAAAUUUUGAGAGUAACUGCCUAUGUAUAAAAUUAUUGUAAUUUAAAUAUUCCUCAGACUCACUGACAAUAAGUUUUUAAUUUCCC
rnacentral:lncRNA from 1 species